CCUACGGGAGGCAGCAGUGGGGAAUAUUGGACAAUGGGGGGAACCCUGAUCCAGCGACGCCGCGUGAGUGAAGAAGUAUUUCGGUAUGUAAAGCUCUAUCAGCAGGGAAGAAAGAAAUGACGGUACCUGACUAAGAAGCCCCGGCUAACUACGUGCCAGCAGCCGCGGUAAUACGUAGGGGGCAAGCGUUAUCCGGAUUUACUGGGUGUAAAGGGAGCGUAGACGGCGAUGCAAGUCUGAAGUGAAAGGCGGGGGCCCAACCCCCGGACUGCUUUGGAAACUGUAUGGCUGGAGUGCAGGAGAGGUAAGUGGAAUUCCUAGUGUAGCGGUGAAAUGCGUAGAUAUUAGGAGGAAUACUCAUUGCGAAGGCGACCUGCUAGAACAUAACUGACGCUGAUGCGCGAAAGCGUGGGGAGCAAACAGGAUUAGAUACCCGAGUAGUC
rnacentral:rRNA from 1 species